rnacentral:tRNA from 1 species
AGGCCAGAUAGCUCAGUUGGUAGAGCAACGGAUUGAAAAUCCGUGUGUCGGCGGUUCGAUUCCGCCUCUGGCCACCA